rnacentral:tRNA from 1 species
GGCCUCAUGGCCUAAUGGAUAAGGCGUCUCACUUCGGAUGAGAAAAUUCCAGGUUCGAGUCCUGGUGGGGGUCG